CCGCUGAACUUAAGCAUAUCACUAAGCGGAGGAAAAGAAACUAACUAGGAUGGCCAUAGUAACGGCGAGUGAAGUGGCCAAAGCCCAAGAUGGAAAUCUUUGUACUGAGUACAACGAAUUGUAAUCUAGAGAGUUAUUGCUUAAUUGGUGGUGGCGCAGAAGUGCCCUGGAACGGGCCACCAGAGAAGGUGAGAGUCCUGUAUGUGGUGCCGCCGCCUAACGAGCAAGGCUUCAAAGAGUCGGGUUGUUUUGUAUUGCAGCCCUAAGUGGGAGAUAAACUUCUUCUAAGGCUAAAUAUAUGUGGGGAACCGAUAGCGAACAAGUACUGUGAAGGAAAGAUGAAAAGCACUUUGAAAAGAGAGUCAAAAGACCUGAAACCGUUGAGGAGGAAGCGGUAGAGAUGAAUUCUAAGGCUAAGAAUGGAGAAAGUACUCUAAUCAUUAGUGAGGAAAGUACUGAUUUAUUCGUGGUCUUGAGGCCGGAUGGGGUGACGUGACCACAGAGGCCUACUAAGUCUAGAGUAGUUUACUAUUCAGCUUAGGAGUGCCGGUGGAGACGUGGCCUGAGGGUGCUUAGUGCGAUCCGGUCAAAAUGGUCUUUACCGACCCGUCUUGAAACACGGACCAAGGAGUCUAACGUACAUGCGAGUGUGCUGGUGGAGAAACCAACACGCGUAAUGAAGGUAAGAGAUGCCAAGCGCAAGCAGCAGCAUCGACCGACCAUGAUUCUCUGAAGAAAGGUUUGAGUAUGAGCAUGUCCGCUAGGACCCGAAAGAUGGUGAACUAUGCCUGCGUAGGGUGAAGCCAGGGGAAACUCUGGUGGAGGCUCGAAGCGAUACUGACGUGCAAAUCGUUCGUCGAACGUGGGUAUAGGGGCGAAAGACUAAUCGAACCAUCUAGUAGCUGGUUCCCUCCGAAGUUUCCCUCAGGAUAGCUGGGACAAUUGCGCAGUUUUAUUAGGUAAAGCGAAUGAUUAGAGGAAUCGGGGGCUACAUGCUCUCGACCUAUUCUCAAACUUUAAAUUGGUAAGAACCCGGGCCUAUCUUAAGUGAGGCUCCGGGGUUCAAUGCGUGUCCUAAGUGGGCCAUUUUUGGUAAGCAGAACUGGCGAUGAGGGAUGCUCCUAACGUUGGGUUAAGGCGCCAAACUGCGCGCUCAUCAGAAACUACAAAGGGUGUUGGUCCAUCCAGACAGCAGGACGGUGGCCAUGGAAGUCGGAAUCCGCUAAGGAGUGUGUAACAACUCACCUGCCGAAUGGACUAGCCCCGAAAAUGGAUGGCGCUAAAGCGCGUGGCCGAUACCCAACCAUCGCCGCGAGAGUGAGGCGGCGAUGAGUAGGAGGGCGUGGGCGUCGUUGUGAAGGCUAUAGCGUGAGCUUGGUUAGAACGGCGUCUAGUGCAGAUCUUGGUGGUAGUAGCAAUUAUUCAAAUGAGAAUUUUGAAGGCCGAAGUGGAGAAGGUUUCCGUGAGAACAGCAAUUGGUCACGGGUGACUCGAUCCUAAGACAUGGGGGAAGUCCCUGUUAAGUGCGCGCUUGCGCGUAGUCGAAAGGGAAUGAGGUUAAUAUUCCUCAAGCUGGAUGUGGGUGUUGUAUGGCAACAUAAGUGAGCAUGGGAACGCCGGCACGAGCCUCUGGAAGAGCUAUCUUUUCUUUUUAACAGAAUAGCGGCCCUGAAAUGGGAUUAUCCCGAGAUAGGGCGGCAUGUCUGGAAGAGCGCCUCGCUUUCCGAGGCGUCAGGUGCGCUCGUGACGGUCCGUGAAAACCCAUGUGAGAUAGUUUCACACCAGGUCGUACCCAUAACCGC
rnacentral:rRNA from 1 species